AUGGACACCUUCUUCCUGUCGCACGGCGCGCCGACGCUCUGCAUCGACGAGACGAUCCCGGCGCGGAGCUUCUUCCAGUCGUGGCUGCCGGCGGCGAUCGCGGGCACGCAGGCGCCGCGCGCCAUCCUGGUGGUGUCGGCUCACUGGGAGACGGACGCUCCGGCGGUCAACGUCGUCCGCGGCACCAACGACACCAUCCACGACUUCCAUGGCUUCCCAGACCAGAUGUACAAGCUGACGUACCCUGCGCCGGGCGCGCCUGACCUGGCCGAGAGGACCAAGAAGCUCCUGGAGGACGCCGGGUUCGGGCCGGUGAGCGAGGAGCACGGCCGCGGGCUCGACCACGGCGCCUGGGUGCCGCUGAUGCUCAUGUACCCCGACGCCGGCAUACCGGUGUGCCAGCUCUCCGUGCAGACUGAGAGGGACGGCACCUACCACUACGACCUCGGCAGGGCGCUGGCGCCGCUCCGGGACGACGGCGUGCUCAUCAUCGGCUCCGGCACCGCCACGCACAACCUCGCCAAGAUGGGGCCUCACGACGCGCCGCCGCCGCAGUGGGCCUCCGACUUCGACACCUGGCUCAAGGAUUCGCUCCUAGACGGGAGGUACGAGGACGUGAAGCGAUACAAGGAGAAGGCGCCCCAGGCUGAGGUGGCGCACCCAUCGCCGCAUCAUUUCUACCCGUUGCACGUCGCGCUCGGCGCCGCCGGGGAGGAGUCCAGGGCGGAGCUGAUCCACCAUAGCUGGACCAACACCAGCAUCUCCUACGCUUCAUACCGUUUCACCACGAAGAUAUAA
rnacentral:rRNA from 1 species